UGGAUGGAGCCAAUCUAUUGCAACACCUGUCAUCCCAUUGAUGGCUGCUUUGGCUGGGUAGGCAAGUGUCCACUUCCUCCUUCACCACUCAAUAUACAUGCCUUCCAAAGCUGCACAUGAAGCCAAAGAGACCAUCCCCAAAUGGAGAACUGGUCUUCAUAUGAGUAGCUGAGCAGUCCUGCUAAGAACCUCAUCAAAAUGAGUACACUUUUUAAUAAAUUGACAUUAAUUUUAUUA
rnacentral:sRNA from 1 species